rnacentral:rRNA from 1 species
CUACGGAAGGCAGCAGUGGGGAAUUUUGGACAAUGGGCGCAAGCCUGAUCCAGCCAUGCCGCGUGCGGGAAGAAGGCCUUCGGGUUGUAAACCGCUUUUGUCAGGGAAGAAACGCCUUGGGCUAAUACCCCGAGGUAAUGACGGUACCUGAAGAAUAAGCACCGGCUAACUACGUGCCAGCAGCCGCGGUAAUACGUAGGGUGCAAGCGUUAAUCGGAAUUACUGGGCGUAAAGCGUGCGCAGGCGGUUAUGCAAGACAGAUGUGAAAUCCCCGGGCUUAACCUGGGAACUGCAUUUGUGACUGCAUGGCUAGAGUGCGGCAGAGGGGGAUGGAAUUCCGCGUGUAGCAGUGAAAUGCGUAGAUAUGCGGAGGAACACCGAUGGCGAAGGCAAUCCCCUGGGCCUGCACUGACGCUCAUGCACGAAAGCGUGGGGAGCAAACAGGAUUAGAUACCCUAGUAGUCGU